rnacentral:rRNA from 1 species
AAUGAACGCUGGCGGCGUGCCUAACACAUGCAAGUCGGAUGUGCCCGCAAGGGUGCAUGGCAGACGGGUGAGUAACGCGUGGGGAACCUACCUCUUUGUGGGGAAUAACGUUCCGAAAGGAAUGGUAAUACCGCAUGAGACCUUCGGCUGGGAUGCUGGAGGUGAAACCCGGGGACCGUAAGGCCUGGGGCAAGGAGAGGGUCCUGCGUCUGAUUAGCUAGUUGGCGGGGUAAUGGCCCACCAAGGCGACGAUCAGUAGCCGGCCUGAGAGGGUGAUCGGCCACACUGGAACUGAGACACGGUCCAGACUCCUACGGGAGGCAGCAGGUGGGGUAAUUUUGCGCAAUGGACGAAAGUCUGACGCAGCAACGCCGCGUGGGUGAUGAAGGUCUUCGGAUUGUAAAACCCUGUCGUCAGGGACGAAGGUUGGGGCUUUAAUAGAGUUUCAACUUGACGGUACCUGGAGAGGAAGCCCCGGCUAACUCUGUG